rnacentral:rRNA from 1 species
GCCAAACAGCUAGCUUAAUCACCUAAAUAAAUUAAUGACAAAAAUAAUGUAUUAAAAACCUAAAACCACUAAUUAAACCAUUUUCCCACUCCAGUACGGGCGACGGAAAAAGAACCUUACUUAAGCUAUAGAGAAAGUACCGCAAGGGAAAGCUGAAAGAGCAAUGAAAAAAGUCAUAUCAGCACAAAAUAGCAGAGACUAAAUCUCGUACCUUUUGCAUCAUGAUUUAGCAAGAACCCAACAAGCAAAGAGACCUUUAGUUUGAAACCCCGAAACCAAACGAGCUACCCCGAGACAGCCUUUAGGGCCAACCCGUCUCUGUGGCAAAAGAGUGGGAAGAUCCCCGGGUAGAGGUGACAGACCUACCGAGUUUGGUGAUAGCUGGUUGCCUAAGAAAUGAAUAGAAGUUCAGCCUCGUACCCCUUAAACCAAAAAAGUUACAUCUAAUGUAGAAUAAAAGAGAAGUACAAGAGUUAGUUAAUGGGGGUACAGCCCCUUUAACCAAAGAAACAACUUUAUCAGGAGGAUAAGGAUUAUAAUUACUAAAAUCCAUCGUUUCAGUGGGCCUAAAAGCAGCCACCUGAAUAGAAAGCGUUAAAGCUCAGACGACACAAAAUUUAUUAUUCCAAUAAAAAAUCCUACUCCCCUAACAAUAUUAGGCUGCUCCAUGCCACCAUGGAAGAAAUUAUGCUAAAAUGAGUAACAAGAGAAUAAACUUCUCUCCCAGCACAAGUGUAGGCCAGAUCGGAUUAACCACUGGCAAAUAACGAACCCAAAAAACGAGGGUAAUGUGGAUAGCAAACAUAGACAAGAAAAUCUCACAACACAUGAAUCGUUAACCCCACACUGGAGUGCACCACCCAGGGAAAGAUUAAAAGAAAGGGAAGGAACUCGGCAAACAUAAGCCUCGCCUGUUUACCAAAAACAUCGCCUCCUGCAAACCCCUAAGUAUAGGAGGUCCAGCCUGCCCAGUGACCACAAGUUCAACGGCCGCGGUAUUUUGACCGUGCAAAGGUAGCGCAAUCACUUGUCUUUUAAAUGAAGACCUGUAUGAAUGGCCAAACGAGGGCUUAACUGUCUCCCCUCUCAAAUCAGUGAAAUUGAUCUACCCGUGCAGAAGCGGGCAUAAACAUACAAGACGAGAAGACCCUUUGGAGCUUAAGGUACAAAUUCAACCAUGUUAAACAACCUAUUAAACAGGAAUUAAACCUAACGGAAACUGGAAUUUUACCUUCGGUUGGGGCGACCACGGAGAAAAGUUUAUCCUCCGAGUGGAUUGGGCUAGCUUUAGCCUAAAACCAAGAAAGACAUUUCUAAGUCACAGAAAAUCUGACCAAUAAUGAUCCGGCUACAAGACCGAUCAACGAACCAAGUUACCCUAGGGAUAACAGCGCAAUCCUCUCCCAGAGUCCAUAUCGACGAGGGGGUUUACGACCUCGAUGUUGGAUCAGGACAUCCUAAUGGUGCAGCCGCUAUUAAGGGUUCGUUUGUUCAACGAUUAAAGUCCUACGUGAUCUGAGUUCAGACCGGAGCAAUCCAGGUCAGUUUCUAUCUGUAACGUCACUUUUCCUAGUACGAAAGGACCGGAAAAGAGAGGCCCAUGCUCAAAAGUACGCCUCACCCCUAAUUAAUGAACACAACUAAAUUAAAUAAAUGGAGGACCCACAAUAAUUAGGCCAAGAUAAAGCCAC